rnacentral:rRNA from 1 species
CGAAAGCCUGACGGAGCAAUACCGCGUGAGGGAGGAAGGCUUUUGGGUUGUAAACCUCUUUUUUAAAGGAAGAAGAAAGUGACGGUACUUUAAGAAUCAGCAUCGGCUAACUCCGUGCCAGCAGCCGCGGUAAUACGGAGGAUGCAAGCGUUAUCCGGAAUCAUUGGGCGUAAAGCGUCCGCAGGUGGCUGUUCAAGUCUGCUGUUAAAGACAGAAGCUCAACUUCUGAACAGCAGUGGAAACUGGACGGCUAGAGUACGGUAGGGGUUGAGGGAAUUCCCAGUGUAGCGGUGAAAUGCGUAGAUAUUGGGAAGAACACCAGUGGCGAAGGCGCUCAACUGGGCCGUAACUGACACUCAGGGACGAAAGCUAGGGUAGCG